rnacentral:rRNA from 1 species
AACGAACGCUGGCGGCAUGCCUAACACAUGCCAGUCGAACGAGACCUUCGGGUCUAGUGGCGCACGGGUGCGUAACGCGUGGGAACCUGCCCUUAGGUUCGGAAUAACUCCCCGAAAGGGGUGCUAAUACCGGAUAAUGUCUUCGGACCAAAGAUUUAUCGCCUUUGGAUGGGCCCGCGUUGGAUUAGCUAGUUGGUAGGGUAAAAGCCUACCAAGGCGACGAUCCAUAGCUGGUCUGAGAGGAUGAUCAGCCACACUGGGACUGAGACACGGCCCAGACUCCUACGGGAGGCAGCAGUGGGGAAUAUUGGAAAAUGGGCGAAAGCCUGAUCCAGCAAUGCCGCGUGAGUGAUGAAGGCCUUAGGGUUGUAAAGCUCUUUUAACCGGGAUGAUAAUGACAGUACCGGGAGAAUAAGCGCCGGCUAACUCCGUG